UACGUAGGGUGCAAGCGUUGUCCGGAAUUAUUGGGCGUAAAGAGCUUGUAGGCGGUUUGUCGCGUCUGCUGUGAAAUCUCAAGGCUCAACCUUGAGCUUGCAGUGGGUACGGGCAGGCUAGAGUGUGGUAGGGGAGACUGGAAUUCCUGGUGUAGCGGUGAAAUGCGCAGAUAUCAGGAGGAACACCGAUGGCGAAGGCAGGUCUCUGGGCCACUACUGACGCUGAGAAGUGAAAGCAUGGGGAGCGAAAAGG
rnacentral:rRNA from 1 species